rnacentral:rRNA from 1 species
CAAUAGCGUAUAUUAAAGUUGUUGCGGUUAAAAAGCUCGUAGUUGGAUUUCUGCUGAGAACGACCGGUCCGCCCUUUGGGUGUGUAUCUGGCUCUUUCUUGGCAUCUUCUUGGUGAACGUUGCUGCACUUGACUGUGUGGAGCGCUACCCAGGACUUUUACUUUGAGGAAAUUAGAGUGUUUCAAGCAGGCAUACGCCUUGAAUACAUUAGCAUGGAAUAAUAAGAUAGGACCUCGGUUCUAUUUUGUUGGUUUCUAGAGCUGAGGUAAUGAUUAAUAGGGAUAGUUGGGGGCAUUCGUAUUUAACUGUCAGAGGUGAAAUUCUUGGAUUUGUUAAAGACGGAAUACUGCGAAAGCAUUUGCCAAGGAUGUUUUCAUUGA